GCCAGAACAGAAGUUUGCAGUAGCGCUGGAAGCGAACGAACGAAAAGUGCGCUGAGGCGGGGACCUUCUGAAAGGGGAGCGGAGAGCACUUUAGAAAUGUGUGGUAUGGAAGGACUUAGAGUUCUGAGACAUGAUUCCACUAUGGCCAGUCAAAGGUCUGAUCGUGGUUCAGCUGUGGCCCGCCAAAGAUCGGAUCUGGCAGUAAUGGGUUUCCGAGGUCUCUGCUGUGCAGCUUGUGGUCAGUUCAACACACACUUUGUUAUGGGUUUGGACUUUACAAUUUUUUUUCUCUCUCGAAAAUUGUUCCAUUAAAGUACAUUGGGGGAAAAAAAGCAAGCCACAUUUCCCUAGUAGUACAGAAGUGUUCACUGGUUUUGGAUGGUCAGAGACAGGAGACACUGUGGCAGGAAUACACAGGUUCAAGGGACACCUGCAGCCUGGAAAAAUUCAGGCUUGUCACCAGGACCUUACUCUCCUCAUCUGUAAACUCGAGAUGCGUCUCCACACUUACACCCCCUUGCAUCCCAGAACAGAAGCAUUGCCUCACAGAUGUAAGAUCCAAGUCAAAGGUGACUCCUGUGAGAGGCUAAAGUCCCUUCCGUGGCAAGUGAUCCUGAAAAACAAAUGCUUCUGCUCGUUGAUAGUUUCACGCUGCUGUGACAAAGUAUCCCAAAAGCAACUUAAGGGGAGAAGGAUUUCUUUUGGCCCAUGGCCUCAGAGAUCCAUAUCCAAGGAAGGAUGUAGAGGAAUGUUUCUUGCUUUGUGGCAGCCAGGAUACAGAGAGACAAAACACUCUUCAAGGACAUGGCUUGGGCGAUUCACUUUCUGCACCUAGCCUAGUUCCCAGAGCCUUCCAAAGCGAGGCCACCAGGUGGAGGAAGGCUUCAAUAUGAGAGUCUGUGAGAGACACUUCACACCCAAACCAUACCCUUAGAUAACCAGGAACUCUGGAGUCGAGAUUUGGGGGUUGGUUUUUAGUUUUGGAGGUGGAACUCAUGCCCAGCUUCACAAACACAGUGAGCAAAAGCCCUACCACUGAGCUACCAUCACAAAGAAUCUAAGGGUCUACAAAAGACUGCUGUGUGGCUGGGAAUAGACUACUUACCUAGCAUAUGUGAGGUCCUGGGUUCCAACACCAUGAAAAGAACAAUCUGUCUCAGUCAGUGUUUACUGCUGUGAAGAGACACCACACUCAAGGCAACUCUUAUAAAGGAAAGCAGUUAACUGGGGAUCGAUAUCGUUUACAGUUUCAGAAGUUUAACCCAUUGUCAUCACGGUGGGGAGCAUGGUGGCACACGUGGUGGCAGACACUGUGCUGGAGAAGUAGCUAUAAGGUCUACAUCCAGAUCCACACACAGCAGGAAGAGAGAAACACUGAACCUGGCUUGGGCUUUAGAAUCCUCAAAGCCCACCUCUAGUGAUAUACCUCCCUAAUGAUUAAGCAUUCAAGUAUGUGAUCCUAUGGGAGCCAUUCUUAUCCAUGCCACCACAAAACAGAGAAACAAGACCAAUGGUGCCCCUCAUCCUUUCACAAUAUCUGUGACUCUCCCCUUGGUCCCUGUGCAGGUAAAGACACAUCUUCUAGUCUCAUCCUUGAACCCAAUAAGUCCUCUACUAAGACUCUUCUCCCAUCUAUUCUCACUCCUUUAAUAUAAAAUGAGAGGGGAAGGGAUUUGCCCUCCUUAGAUUUCUUACUUACUUUUAGAACAAUUACCCAGUUCAGAAAAAAACUGGGGUCUUGUGUCUGCUUACACCUCAAUUAUACUCCAAGCCCUGUAUCAAAGGGUUGGAUUGUAUCUGUGACUGGGGUUCCCCCACCAAGACUGCAUGUGUGGAGCAGAGAAUCAGCUUCUCAGAGUGGGGGUCUCCACAGCCAGAUGUGCAGGCUGGACACUAAGAUCCCUCUUUUCUUGUUGUUAUUCCCACCCCAGCCUCAUCUAAUCGAUGCUCUGCUGCACAGCCCCCGAUGGUGAGCUUCUGUGGCUGUUUCUUGGUCUUUAGCGGUAUUCUCCUGCUCACUGAACAUUGCUCCGCCUUUUGGAUACACAUACGGUGCUCUUUUUCCCUCAUGUAUCCAGACUGAUCCAGAACUCAUUCUGCCUCUAGAGUGGUGAGAUUCCAGGUGUGCGCCACCCUUCCUGCCUACACCUUCUCCUUCAGUUCAACCUCCACGAACUUGGAGACGAUCACCGAUCACCGGCACAGCAGCCGACUUCCCAGAAUCACCCCAACUCUGGGCUGUGUGAAGACCUGUGUUAGGAUUCUCAGAACCCAUGCCAAGAAACCGGAGGCAGAGCCUGAAAAAUUCCCAAAAGCCCCUGAGCCAGCUCACCUGGUGCACACAGCCAGAGACAAGAGAUCCUGCCACAGCCAUGGUGGAAAACAAGGGCUGCUGCACAAGGUGCUCCUCUGAACUGCACAUACCAGAUAUGUGUACCUGCAUUUGCAAAUGUGAACACACGCCCCUCUUGCAUACAUACACAUGCAUGCAUACACACACACACAAGAUAAAAAUAAAUGAUAAUAAAUGAAUAAAACAUUGUUAUAAAAAACACCUGAGACGCGUGGAUUUAAAGGUUUCAGUCUCUGGUUAGUAAUCGCUGGGGUCUGAGGCGAGGCCUCAUGGAAGAACAUGUGGUAGAGCAAACCAUCACUCACAGGCGGGCGGUGUGCGAUAGAAAAGAGAUGGUCUCUCACAGCUCCCUUCAAAGUCACAUGGCCAGCGAUCAGAAGACCUCCUGCUAGACCCCGCUUCCCAAACUUCUUAGCACCUCUCAACAGGACAAAGCCUCUCACACCAGGGCAGCCACAGCCCCUGUGUGCCACAGUAAAGCUUCUAUGCAGUAAUUGACUGUGCUUCAAGCACCUGUGGUGCACGUAGGUGGCUUUGUCGGGCUCAAACAGAGAGAUUUUUCAUUUCCAUCUGCAUGUGACAAGCAACCUUAAACACGUGGCACCUCCUGGGAACUGGGGGAUCAGUAGGGUAAAGUGACAAAAUCAAGUCUAGCUCAUGUGUGCCUGAAAGACGGGCAACUGGAUGCCCCAAAAUGGCUAUGUCAUCAUAGUGGCAGGGUGUGGGUGGAUCACUUCCCCUACUACGUUCUCACGGCUGGGUUGGAUGUGAGCUGCAGUGAGUUCUAUAGUAUUUACAGUAAAGCACUUCACAGCCACUCGCCCCAUCCAUGUGUCCCCUGGAUCUUCCAUCCAUCCCUUAACACCUUCUACAGUGUUCCGAUGGUUGGGGGUGAGGGGGGAAGAUGCUAAAACCGCUAUCUUUCAAAAUGUAUUCUUUCUAGCUGUGGUCAAAAUCUCUGUCUGAUAAGAGCCAGGCUGCCUGUGGUGGUCUUUGUUUCUGA
rnacentral:sRNA from 1 species